rnacentral:rRNA from 1 species
CCUACGGGGGGCAGCAGUGGGGAAUAUUGGACAAUGGGCGAAAGCCUGAUCCAGCCAUACCGCGUGUGUGAAGAAGGCCCUAGGGUUGUAAAGCACUUUAAGUUGGGAAGAAAAGUUAUUGGUUAAUACCCAAUGACCGUGACAUUACCAUCAGAAUAAGGACCGGCUAAUUCCGUGCCAGCAGCCGCGGUAAUACGGAAGGUCCAAGCGUUAAUCGGAAUUACUGGGCGUAAAGCGCGCGUAGGUGGUUUAUUAAGUUGGGUGUGAAAUCCCCGGGCUCAACCUGGGAACUGCAUCCAAAACUGAUUCACUAGAGUACGAUAGAGGGAGGUAGAAUUCACAGUGUAGCGGUGGAAUGCGUAGAUAUUGUGAAGAAUACCAAUGGCGAAGGCAGCCUCCUGGAUCUGUACUGACACUGAGGUGCGAAAGCGUGGGUAGCGAACAGGAUUAGAUACCCCAGUAGUC